UAGUGGCGGACUGGUGAGUAACACGUAAGCAACCUACCUGUUAGAGGGGAAUAACAGUGAGAAAUCACUGCUAAAACCGCAUAUGCCGUGAACAUCGCAUGAUGAAAACGGGAAAAGAGCAAUCUGCUAAUAGAUGGGCUUGCGUCUGAUUAGCUAGUUGGUGUGGUAAAGGCAUACCAAGGCGACGAUCAGUAGCCGGACUGAGAGGUUGAACGGCCACAUUGGGACUGAGAUACGGCCCAGACUCCUACGGGAGGCAGCAGUCGGGAAUAUUGCGCAAUGGAGGAAACUCUGACGCAGUGACGCCGCGUAUGGGAAGAAGGUUUUCGGAUUGUAAACCAUUUUAGACAAGGAAGAAACAAGACAGUACUUGUAGAAUAAGCUCCGGCUAACUACGUGCCAGCAGCCGCGGUAAUACGUAGGGAGCAAGCGUUAUCCGGAUUUAUUGGGUGUAAAGGGU
rnacentral:rRNA from 1 species